rnacentral:rRNA from 1 species
AACGAACGCUGGCGGCAUGCCUAACACAUGCAAGUCGAACGAGACCUUCGGGUCUAGUGGCGCACGGGUGCGUAACGCGUGGGAAUCUGCCCUUAGGUUCGGAAUAACAGUGGGAAACUACUGCUAAUACCGGAUGAUGACUUCGGUCCAAAGAUUUAUCGCCUAAGGAUGAGCCCGCGUAAGAUUAACUAGUUGGUGGGUAAAGGCCUACCAAGGCUACGAUCUUUAGUCUGGUCUGAGAGGAUGAUCAGCCACACUGGGACUGAGACACGGCCCACGACUCCUACGGGAGGCAGCAGUGGGGAAGUAUUGGACAAUGGGCGAAAGCCUGAUCCAGCAAUGCCGCGUGAGUGAUGAAGGCCUUAGGGUUGUAAAGCUCUUUUACCCGGGAUGAUAAUGACAGUACCGGGAGAAUAAGCUCCGGCUAACUCCGUGCCAGCAGCCCG